AGUGAGCGCUGGCGGUAGGCCUAACACAUGCAAGUCGAACGGCAGCACAGUAAGAGCUUGCUCUUACGGGUGGCGAGUGGCGGACGGGUGAGGAAUACAUCGGAAUCUACUUUUUCGUGGGGGAUAACGUAGGGAAACUUACGCUAAUACCGCAUACGACCUACGGGUGAAAGCAGGGGAUCUUCGGACCUUGCGCGAUUGAAUGAGCCGAUGUCGGAUUAGCUAGUUGGCGGGGUAAAGGCCCACCAAGGCGACGAUCCGUAGCUGGUCUGAGAGGAUGAUCAGCCACACUGGAACUGAGACACGGUCCAGACUCCUACGGGAGGCAGCAGUGGGGAAUAUUGGACAAUGGGCGCAAGCCUGAUCCAGCCAUACCGCGUGGGUGAAGAAGGCCUUCGGGUUGUAAAGCCCUUUUGUUGGGAAAGAAAAGCAGGAGGUUAAUACCCCGCUGUUCUGACGGUACCCAAAGAAUAAGCACCGGCUAACUUCGUG
rnacentral:rRNA from 1 species